GAUGAACGCUAGCUAUAGGCUUAACACAUGCAAGUCGAGGGACCGGCGCACGGGUGAGUAACGCGUAUCCAACCUGCCCAUAACUAAGGGAUAACCCAGCGAAAGUUGGACUAAUACCUUAUGGUUAUGGAUGGGGAUGCGUCUGAUUAGCUUGUUGGCGGGGUAACGGCCCACCAAGGCAACGAUCAGUAGGGGUGCUGAGAGGGAGGUCCCCCACUAUGGAGCUGGGACGCAGCCCAAGCUCCUACUAGGGGAAGGAGAGUGUGAUAAUGGUCAAGCGAGGCAGAUCCAACCCAGCCGUGUAGCUUGCAGAGGGCCGCGGUGGAGAUUCAAAACUGCUUGUAGAUGGAGUUCGGUACCUUAUGAAUAAGGACAGGCUAAUUCCCUGCCAGCAGCCGCGGUAAUAC
rnacentral:rRNA from 1 species